rnacentral:tRNA from 2 species
GCCUACAUAGCUCAGCUGGUAGAGCACGCCCUUGGUAAGGGCGAGGUCAUGGGUUCAAAUCCCAUUGUAGGCU